rnacentral:rRNA from 1 species
CCUACGGGUGGCAGCAGUGAGGAAUAUUGGUCAAUGGGCGAGAUCCUGAACCAGCCAAGCCGCGUGAGGGAAGACGGCCCUAUGGGUUGUAAACCUCUUUUGUCGGAGAACAAAACCCGGGACGUGUCCCGGACUGCGUGUAUCCGAAGAAAAAGCAUCGGCUAACUCCGUGCCAGCAGCCGCGGUAAUACGGAGGAUGCGAGCGUUAUCCGGUUUUAUUGGGUUUAAGGGGUGCGUAGGCGGUCCGUUAAGUCAGCGGUAAAAUUGCGGGGCUCAACCCCGUCGAGCCGUUGAAACUGGCGUGCUUGAGUCCGCGGAAAGCAGGCGGAAUUCGUCGUGUAGCGGUGAAAUGCUUAGAUAUGACGAAGAACCCCGAUUGCGAAGGCAGCUUGCUGCAGCGGAACUGACGCUGAUGCUCGAAAGCGCGGGUAUCGAACAGGAUUAGAUACCCUAGUAGUC